rnacentral:rRNA from 1 species
CGUGUGCGGACGUAUUAAGCAUGCAAGUCGAACGGGAACCGUGCCCGCAAGGGUGUGGGGAGAGUGGCGAACGGGUGAGUAACACGUAGGUGAUCUGUCCCUGGGUGGGGUAUAGCCCAUGGAAACAUGGGGUAAUACCGCAUGAGGUCCCGGCGGUGAGAACUCCGGGAUGAAAGGCGCAAUUGUGUUGCCUGGGGAUGAGCCUGCGGCUCAUUAGCUAGUUGGUGAGGUAAAGGCCCACCAAGGCGACGAUGGGUAGCCGGCCUGAGAGGGUGUACGGCCACACUGGGACUGAGACACGGCCCAGACUCCUACGGGAGGCAGCAGCUAAGAAUCUUCCGCAAUGGGGGAAACCCUGACGGAGCGACGCCGCGUGGACGAAGAAGGCCGCAAGGUUGUAAAGUCCUUUUGCAGGCGAAGAAUAAGGCGAAGAGUGGAAAGCUUGGUCGAUGACGUUAGCCUGCGAAUAAGCCCCGGCCAAUUACGUGCCAGCAGCCGCGGUAACACGUAUGGGGCAAGCGUUGUUCGGAAUUACUGGGCGUAAAGGGCGUGUAGGCGGUUUCGUAAGCCUGGCGUGAAAGUCAUCGGCCCAACCGAUGGACGGCGCUGGGAACUGCGGGACUGGAGUUGUGGAGGGGGAGCUGGAAUUCCAGGUGUAGGGGUGAAAUCUGUAGAGAUCUGGAAGAACACCGGAGGCGAAGGCGAGCUCCUGGCCAAUGACUGACGCUGAGGCGCGAAAGCGUGGAGAGCAAACAGGAUUAGAUACCCUGGUAGUCCACGCUGUAAAACGAUGUGCACUAGGUGUUGGUGCCAUACGGGCAUCGGUGCCGUAGCUAAGGCGAUAAGUGCACCGGCCUGGGGAGUAUGCUCGGCAAGGGUG